GAAAUACUCCCUCCGUUCCAAAUUACUUGUCGCACAUAUGGAUGUAUCUAGAUGUAUUUUUGUUCUAGAUACAUCCAUUUCAGCGACGAGUAAUUUGAAACGGAGGGAGUACUAG
rnacentral:pre_miRNA from 1 species